rnacentral:RNase_P_RNA from 1 species
AAUUUCGGGUAAUUGGGCAUAACUUAUGUUGUGUCAGGAAAGUCCAUGCUCGCACAGGCUGUGAUGCCUGUAGUGUUCGUGCUCAGUGAAAAAAUAAGCUGGGGUGCCUUCUUUUGAAGGUAACGGCGGGAAAACGUUGCUAAGGCUUCGGCUAUGCGCUAGUAUCCCUGAAAAGUGCCACAGUGACGAAACCAGUAUGGAAACAUGCUGGGUGGAACGCGGUAAACCCCUCGAGCGGGAAACCCAAACUACGGUAGGGGAGCUUCACAUAGGUAACUGAACUGAUUGUGGGGGAAGGUCUUUGACCUUGAGAUAGAUGAUUACCACGGAGUAGAUUGCGCCUGAGAUCUACGAAGUACAAAACAUGGCUUACAGAA